AUUCACUGAAGGGAAUUCACAGUGAAUGUCAUAUUUUAGGCCCCAAAAAUCCAUAUAUGAAAAGCACUUUAAGCUGUGUUUUCAUUUUUGUUACUUUGACCUAAAUUUUUAAAUAAUUUUUAAUUCAGGACAGUUUAAUGGAUAACCCAGAACGGAAUUACAAAUUUACCUUGAAUUCCCAACUUUUUAGUAAAUAACUCUCUUAGACUUGAGCAAAAUAGAUUAUAGAGACUAACCCCUUAAGGACCAAACUUCUGGAAUAAAAGGGAAUCAUGACAUGUCAUGUGUCC